rnacentral:rRNA from 1 species
AUUAACACGUAUAAGAGGUCCAGCCUGCCCAGUGACUAUAUGUUCAACGGCCGCGGUAUUCUGACCGUGCAAAGGUAGCGUAAUCACUUGUCUUUUAAAUAAAGACUGGUAUGAAUGGCAUCACGAAGGUUCAACUGUCUCCUGCAUCCUAUCCAUAAAACUGACCUCCCCGUGCAGAGGCGGGGAUACAACCAUAAGACGAGAAGACCCUAUGGAGCUUCAAACUAAAGGCAACUGCCAACUAUUAUUUAACCACCAGGGAUUAACAAAUAAACAAGCAUGUAUGACCUAAAGUUUUCGGUUGGGGCGACCACGGAGGAAAAAAAAUCCUCCUUGAUGAAUAGGACAUUUAAUCCUUAACCAAGAAUAACAAUUCUAAGUAACAAAAUUUUAGACUAUAAUUGAUCCAGUCUAACUGAUCAACGAACCAAGUUACCCUAGGGAUAACAGCGCAAUCCAUUUCAAAAGUUCUUAUCGACAAAUGGGUUUACGACCUCGAUGUUGGAUCAGGGCAUCCCAGUGGUGCAGCCGCUACUAAAGGUUCGUUUGUUCAACGAUUAAAGCCCU